rnacentral:rRNA from 1 species
GACGAACGCUGGCGGCGUGCUUAGCACAUGCAAGUCGAGCGGUAAGGCCCUUUCGGGGUACGACGAGCGGCGAACGGGUGAGUAACACGUGGGUGACCUGCCCUCAGCUCUGGGAUAAGCCUGGGAAACCGGGUCUAAUACCGGAUAUGACUCCAUGACGCAUGUUGUGGGGUGGAAAGCCUUGUGCGGCUGAGGAUGGGCCCGCGGCCUAUCAGCUUGUUGGUGGGGUGAGGCCACCAAGGCGACGACGGGUAGCCGGCCUGAGAGGGCGACCGGCCACACUGGGACUGAGACACGGCCCAGACUCCUACGGGAGGCAGCAGUGGGGAAUCUUGCG